UAUAAUAAUUAAAUAUUUAUUUAUAUUACAUACAAUGUUCCAACCUUAUUUUGAAACGUUUGAAGCACAAUAUACGUAACUUACAGAUGGAGUCUAUGGAAGAAACUAAGUGACCUCGAUAGCUUGGGUUUUGUAACGGUCUAUCACACCAAGUCAAUGUAUUUAACAUUAAUUAUGAUUUAGAAUAUCAUAUGAAUAACAUAAAAGACCUAAUAACAUCUGAAGAUUGGAAGAGUACGUUAAUAAGGUUAUGGAUAAGCGAUUGUGGGAUCCAAAUGUGACGUGUGUUAAUCUUUAAAACAUACAAGACACAUAUAUUUAUCAACAAGUGCUUACGUACGGUUCUAAAGUCAAUAAAUAUUAUUAAAAAGCGCUUUGACAUGGCAAUCCGUUUAUAUAUACUAUACAACUAUAAACGAGAUAUGCACACACCAUUAUACUUUAGAACCAAAAGAAUAGUCCAUGUCCGUUCUAUAAACAUGCUCCAAAUAAUCAAACGGAACAGUUUUAUCUGGAGGUAUAUAUUGAAAUAUCACUCAUACGUCACGUCAAGCGCAUGUAUGCGAAGCUCUACAAACGUUUUCAUAUAUGAAAAAAUUAAGCACUUCAAUAGAA